ensembl:lncRNA
UUACGUAUUUAUCUCUUCCCUUUACACUCAUCUCAAAUCUAUAUAUCAGUGUUUCAGUUUGAAGUUUUAUGUUUUCUUCUGGUUCUAAUUUGUUUAUUUAGUCCAUUUUGACGUUGUUCAGAGUCUUAUUUUUUUUUUCUCAGCUCUAAAUUCUCCAUUUUUAUUUCUUUGCCUUGACUCAUCGUUUUGUCUUCGAGCUCUUGUUUUAUUGAACCUAGUUGCCUAAAUUCUGUACCAUGAAGAAUUCUCAUGUAGUUGCUCUUCUAUUUCUUACGUUUAAUUUCAAACUAUAUCUUUUGUUUCUUUAUUUCUUUCUCCUUUGUUGUACUCAAUAUGUUUACAUAGUUGCUGUGCCCUUUUUUUCUUGCUGCUCCUGUUUAAUUUGGAUUUCUCUUCUCAGCCUACUAUAUUUUACUAUAGGUGAGUUUACUCUGCCACUCUCUGUUUUUGUCUUGGUGUGGGAGCUGAAAAGUUCACUUUUCCCCACCCCCCUCAAAAAAGGUGUCAACCUCCUCAUCCCCAGAUUCUGUGAAUGUUACCAUAAGUGUCAAAGUGUCAACAGAGCCAUUGCAGAUGGGAUUAAGUUAAGGAUUUUGAAAUGGGAAGAUAAUCCUGGAUUGCCUGUGUGGGGCUGAUGGAAUCACAAGAAUCUUUGUGGGAGGGAGGGAGAAGAGUAAUAGAGCAGAGAUAUGACUAUGGAAGCAGAAGUUGAAGUGAGGAGUUUUGAAGAUGAAGGAAGGAGCAAGAGUCAAGGAUUGUAGUUAGCCUCUAGAAUGGAUUUUCGCCUCGAGCCGCCAGGCAGAACCAAUCCUGAGGACACCUUGAUUUUAGGCCAUUAAGACCCAUAAUGGAAUUCUGACCUGCAGAACUAUAAGAUAAUAAAUUUAUAUUUUAAGCAACUAAAUUUGUGGUAAUUUGCUAUAGCAGCAAGAGGAAACUAACACAAUAAGGGAUCUUUAGAAUAAUCCUUUCUCUUACAUUUAGACCUAAUUUGAGCCAUUUUAUUUUUGGGAGAGGUGUUUUUUUUAUUUACGGAGUAUUGAGUUAAUAAUUCUUAUUCAUUAGCCUGGUCAAGGAAUCGCUUAUGUUUAUUUCAUUGAAUUAUAUUUUCUUUUUAUCUCAGAUCACCCGUGCCUUCCUGAUGCUCCUCCCUGUAGGCAUAUAUUUUAAUGAACUUGACUUCUAUCCUUGGAAAUUAAUUCUAUAGCAUGCACCUACUACAUUUUGCUUAUCCAUUCUUCUUGGGUUGGAAACUAAACUAAAAUUCCAAAUCCCUGUUAGUAUAAUGAUGCUAUGACUGUCAUCCUUGUAAAGACCCUCUUAUGGCGUGGGGUUCUGUGGACAUAGGCUAUAUGCUUAUUUAAUUUUACAAAAUGUAGGCUAAUUGAUCUUCAACAUGGCUACAUAGAUCAAUACUUCAUUUUACAUCAUGGUCUUUAUUAGAUCAUUUAAGUCCUUUUUUCACAUAUCCUUCUAACCGUUUGUAAGGUUUGAUCUAAUUUUAUCAUUUGAGAGACGUGAAAUAGUAUCUAAUCCUUGUUUUUACUUUUUCUGAUAGCUAAUAAGGCUGAGAAUUUCUUGAUAAAUGUGCCUAUCAUUUAGUGGUUGUGAGAGACUGAGCCCAUGGUAUUGGGGGGAACACUCAAAGACAGGGGCUGUUGGGGGUAAAGGAAACUGAAGGAGACUAGAUCAUGGCCUGGUUCUAAUGUAACUGCUAAGGUUGGAAGUAAAUACAUAUUGCUCCUAAGGGUGGAGGUGUAUUCAGUGGUAUUUAGGAGGUAGAACAAAGCUAACCUCAGAGUUCAAACCCCAUACAGAGCCCAGCUGUUUCCAGAAGAUUUAGACUGGGGCCUGGACCAGAAGCAUAAAGAAUGAGACCUUUAGGCUUGACCAAGACAGGAUUCAUGAUGAGGGCUGGGGCUGGAAAGCCAGGGGCUUCCUCUUUUCCCAAAUUGCUUGAGAAAUGACAAGGGAAAGGGUGGCAAGAGAGACAAUGGCUUGUUUUAAAAAUACAAAAGACUGUUCUCAAUAGUGGGGGAAAUUCAAUAAAUGUUAGAGUUGUAUGGAAUUAUGAGAUCUUCUCAAAUCCAUACCUAUUUACCAAUAUACACCUCACAUAUAACUUACAUUUGUACAUAAGUUAAACAGCACUAUUAAUAAGAUACAACUUUUACUGUUUUCUAUGAGACAGGCAUGAUUCUAAGCCAAGUUCUCUCAAGUACUGCCUUAUCCUCACCACUGAGAAGAUUUAGUAAUGUGGUUACCUUAGACACAUAAAGUAAUUUCCUUUGUUUAAUGUAAGUCACCUGUCCUCUGGUUUUGAUAUCAAGUAUAAGGUGUAAAAAUUUAAGUUAAUGAUCAUUUCCAUUGGAUAAAAGGCAUCAUCCUAGUCAAUGGAUUGUCACAGCCCUGCAGUCCUUGAAUACCAGCUGGGUCCCUGGAGUGCACUGAUGUAAUCCAUAGGUCAUAGUAUAUGCUGAGGCCUUAAAGAGGGCUUGCAUCAUAAUAGCCCUGAUGGUGUACUGAGCACUGGUCAGGACAGUGAUUUAGUGAGGAGAUAGCCUCUCAAAUGGUUUGUUGUUCUUGACUGUAUUAAUUUGAUUCUGUAUCAUCAAUGACUUUCGGAGAGCAGAGUUUCAGAGAGAAAGGUAACUGAUUUGAGUCACUCUCCAAAGAGUUGAAUCAUGAAGCGGAAACAAAAAAGGAAACACCUGGAAGAUGCAUACAUCCCCCAAAGUUCGAACAAGACAAAAAAAACGUUGAGUUUACAAGAAUAUGCUCUGCAGCCUAGACACGAUAGAGUGGUCCCAACUCAAGACCAGGAAGCAAAGGAUUCUUCUCCUUCAGAAUACUUCCCCGGCGUCUCUUCUGUAGACAAGCUGGCUGGUGCUGGAAUCUCAAACUUUAACCAAUAUAAUCCUCAAUUUGGGUACUCUUUGGAGAACAACAACAUGGUCCGUGAGGCACGAGACAGAUCCUCUGAAUCAGAAUACUUCUCAUGCUACUCUAGUUUCUCAAAUUUUUACAAUGUCUCUAACACUGGUGAUUUGAGUUGUGAUUCUUAGCACUUGCACCUGAAGACAAACUACAACUCCUGUGACAGCUGGCUGGUAAUCUCCGAGUUCACAAUGUUUGCAGUCUGCUUUAAUUUUGAAAAGGAACGAUAGGAAAAUACUGAACUUCUUUAAGCAGGAGUGUGUUGGGGGCACUGAGCCAGCAUUGAUAUGAGGCAUGAGAACCUUACAGAAGUGACGUUAGCUUGCAGAGGCAAAGCGAGAGCCAAGUUUGAAGUAAAGGAGACUCAAGUCACUUGUUUGUAAAGUAACUUCAACUAGGUUUCCAUAUAGUGGGUAAGUGAUAAUUAUGAAUUACUAAUAAAAUAUUAAAAGUGUAAAGAAUGAGUUCUAAACAGAAGCUUUGGAGAAGUGAAGUAUCUUAUAUAGAAGGAAAAUGAAUUAAAAGAAAUAAUCAAUGUCCAAUAAACAGUACAUUAUUUUAAAUUAUGAAGUAUAUAAAUCUAUAAGGUUAAAUAAGAUAGAAGAGAUCACAUAUAAAAAAUGACCAAAAAUCAGGAUAACGCCUUAGUAGAAAUAGCUAAGAAAUAGUCUUAGUAUUAUAUUUUUUUGUCUUUGAAUAGGGAACACUUGAGGGUUAAUGUAUGUAAUCCAGUUUGACAAAAGCUUCUAUGACUCAAUGAUUAAUGAUUGGAGAUUAUAUAAAAGAACCAUGAAAUGAAAAGGAAGGAAAAGAACUUAAUUAUCAUGACACUUAACACUGAAUAAAAUGACAUGUUAAACACUUGACAUAUUAAUUUUACCAGUCAAUGGGCAAAAGAGAACACUAUGACAUAAAAAUUCAGAUGAGGUGAAUUAAUAUUAAUAUAUACACUAGUCCCCACCCCUUACCUGCAGCUCCACUUUUCAUGGUUUUCAGUUACCUGUGGUUAACCACUGUCUGAAAACAAUGCCAUGUCACAAUGCCUACCUCAUUCAUCUCACUUCCUCUCAUUUCACAGGCAUUGUAUCACCUCAAAUCAUUGCAAGAAGAAGGGUGAGUACAGUACACUAAGAUAUUUUGAAAGAGAGAAAGAGAAAUCACAUUCACAUGGGUUUUGUUGUAAUAUAUUGUUAUAAUUGGUCUAUUUCAUUAUUAGUUAUUGUUGUUAAUCUGUAUCAUAGGUAUCUAUAUAUAGGAAAAACGUAUUAUAUGUAGGGCUUGGUUCUAUCCACUUUUUCAGACAUCCACUGGGGAUCUUGGAACAUGUGCUCCCGUGGAUAAGAGGGAUUACUGUAAUAAAAAUGCUGGCUAAGUGCACUCAUUCAUAAAGGCACUUUAUGCAAUAAAAUCAGAAGUAUUUUCAAAAAAAGUUUAGUAGAUUUUUCAUUUUAGGGUAGUUUUAGGUUUACUGCAAAAUUAAACGGAACGACAGAGAUGUCUCCUAUAGCCGCUGCCCCCAUGCUUGCAUAGCCUCCACCAUUAUCAACAUCCUCCAUCAAAUUGGUGUAUUUAUUACAAUUGAUAACCCUAUGCUGACACAUCAUUAUCAUCAAAGUCCAUAGCUAACACUAGAGUUCACUCUUGGUGGUGUACCUUUUUUGGGUUUGGACAAAGGUAUAAUGACAUGUUUUCACAAUGACAGUAUUAUAUGGAGUACUUACACUGUCCCCAAAAUCCUCUGAGCUCUGCUUAUUCAUCCCUCCAUCCCCUAACCCCUGGCAGUCACUGACAUCUGGCAAUUGCUUUUUCCAGAAUGUCAUAGAGUUGGAAUUAAACAGGACAUAGCCUUUUCAGAUUUGCUUCUUUCUCUUAGUAAUAUGCAUUUAAGUUUCCUCUGUAUCUUUUUAAUGCUGAAUAAUAUUUCAAUGUCUUCAUGCACUACAGUUUAUUUAUCCACUCACCUACUGAAGGGCAUCUUGGUUCCCUCCCAGUUUUGGCAAUUAUUAGAAAGUUGCUAUAAACAUCUCUGUGCUAGUUUUUGUGUGAACAUGUUUUCAUCUCCUUUGGGUAAAUACCACAGAGUGUGAUUACAUAGUAAGAGUAUGUUUGGUUUUGUAAGAAACUGCCAAACUCUUCCAAAGUGAAAAAUUUUUUCAAAAUAACUUGAACAAGAAUGCCCCAAACAUCUCCAUGAUUCAUUAAGAACAAAUGCUGGCAAUUAAUAUAACAAAAUUCUCAUAAUGGGUUAUGUAUAUUUCAUAAUACAAUUCUUGUAAUAAAGAAGACUAAUUCUAGAGAUCAAAAAGUAACACUGCACGUUCACAGAAAAUAAACCAUUUCAGUAAGUGGUGGAAUAUUUCAUUUAACUCAUGCAGAAGAGUCUAAAACUUAGAAUUUACUUUUCUUGUUUAAUACUCACAGAUCUAUAACUCGAACUAAUUUUUUCAAGGAAUGUAAAGAGGCUACUUCUAUAUGAACAAUGUGUAGCGGACAACUGAAUUUCACAAAUUAUUGAGAACAAGUAUCAUGUUGACACAAUGGGAAGUUACAAUUUGACUUAUAACUUGGUUUAUGGACUGAGAUUCUGUAACUUGUUGGAAGGGUUUAACACAAAUCAUGAAUUAACUGCUCUCAUUUGUUCUGUUAUUGUUAUGUGUGAUAUAUAUCCUGGCAGCAGAGUGAACUCAGUAAUGUGUGAUUAAAAAAGAUACCAUCCUCCCUUGCCUGCCUGACAAGCUCAUUUUUAUCCCAAAAGAUAACUCAAAUACGACCUCCUCUGUGAAGACUUCUGGGAUCGUUUUAUCUCUCUUACAUUUUCUUUAUCUGUUCUUCAAGAACAUUUUGCACAUACAUCUGUUCGCACUUGUCACAUUACUGUGGUUGUUUGCAUGUCUGUUCCUCUGUUCUCCUUGAGAGUAUCUUUGCACCCAAAGAUCCCUGUGAGAUGCUUUUUCAACGAAUAGAGAGGAAAAUGAAUGAUGCAUUUUGCUAUGUCAUGAUCUGACAAACAAACCGUAAGGAGUCCAGAAAGUAUCGACUGCCUUGGUAGUUGUCUGAUUACAAGUACUCUUAACUUUAUGAAUGAAGAGUAAGUUAAAAUGACUUCUUACAAUCUAUCCAUCAAGCUGAUUGUUCCUGUUUAUAUCCUUCAAAAUUUUCAAUAUCAAUAUCAACUUAAAUGUAUCACCCAUUAUAAAACAUUAUUUA